AGCUACGCCGGCGUGAACCGAAUUUUCGCGUCAAGAGAUUCACAGUCAACGGCAGUGCUGGCUCCAGCGGAGAAAUUUAUUCUUGGUCCAUAUCGUGAAAUUUAUAGCCUCAACGAGCUACUCGGCGGGCGCUUCACUAAUGAAGGGUACGAGUUCUAUUGUGGAUUCAGGCCCGCCAACGUCACUUUCACCAUUGCUACCAAGAGAUUUGUCCUUACGGCGGAAGACUACAUUUAUAAGGUCGACACAACUUCUGGAACUAAGUGCUAUAGCGCUUUCUAGACGGCCUACAGGGGAGACGACGCUGCCGCAUGGCAUUUGGGCAUUCCUUUCCUGCGGCGAGCCUACACUGUGCUCGAAUCUCCCUCAAAUUCGAGGGGCCACGGGCGCGUGGGCUUCGCUCCAAUACGCUCGCCUUGACAGCAUCGUUAACCACAGCGGACAGCGCAAUUUCCGGGUUGUGAUUUCACGGCCUACUGCAUUUCAAUUCUUGAAUAAAUUGCCAUU